GUACUUGGAAUGCGUAACUUGUCAUUUUAGGUAUAGACAGCAGAAAAGAACUGAUCAUCCAUCUAUUCAGCUAAGUGAGAUGGAGUGUGGCAGACAUGAAUUAAGGAUUUUCAACUGGGACUCAGGAUGCAUGAAUGAUUUGUGGAGCGAAGGUAGCUGAUGGAUUCUAGACGAUGGCCGACAAGGGUCUGCACAUGCCACUCCAAAUUGUUGAUUUCACCACGCCAUAUUACUUCACAUGAGCACACGUGCAACAGCCUGGAGCUGCACUAUCGGCACCGCCACCACAUCAUAGAGGUGGUAACAGGAGCAGCGGAUCCAGCAAGGGACGGCAAGGCAAUGACAAUGUCCAUGGUCGCCGGUAUCAUCCAUAUUGAUUUAUCUUUGAUGACCCAGCGCCUACUAGAUUUCAGGUAGCCCAUCUGUCUUCUGUACUGUACCUAUACUUUGGUUUUGUUGAAGGUUUUGUAUAAAGCCAGCAAUUGAUCUGUUUAAAAAAU